GGGAUUUCAGCUGGGAUGAGGAUUCGCUCCUCUUGCAGCUCAAGGAUGGGCUUGGGGAAGACCUCGAAGUCAUUUACAUUGGUUGUCUGAGAGAGGAGAUCGAGCCGAGAGAGCAGGAUGAUGUGGCUCAGACCCUGCUCGAGACCUUCAAAUGCGUCCCCGCGUUCCUCCCCUCGGAACUUUUCACUAGAUUCUACCAUGGGUCGGC
rnacentral:misc_RNA from 1 species